CCUACGGGAGGCAGCAGUGGGGGAUAUUGCACAAUGGGGGGAACCCUGAUGCAGCGACGCCGCGUGGGUGAAGAAGCGCCUCGGCGCGUAAAGCCCUGUCAGCAGGGAAGAAAAUGACGGUACCUGAAGAAGAAGCCCCGGCUAACUACGUGCCAGCAGCCGAGGGAAUACGUAGGGGGCAAGCGUUAUCCGGAUUUACGGGGUGUAAAGGGGGCGCAGACGGCGAUGCAAGCCAGGAGGGAAAGCCCGGGGCCCAACCCCGGGACUGCUCUUGGAACUGCGUGGCUGGAGUGCAGGAGGGGCAGGCGGAAUGCCUGGUGUAGCGGUGAAAUGCGUAGAUAUCAGGAGGAACACCGGUGGCGAAGGCGGCCUGCUGGACUGCAACUGACGUUGAGGCCCGAAAGCGUGGGGAGCAAACAGGAUUAGAUACCCUAGUAGUC
rnacentral:rRNA from 1 species